UAAAUGACAUAAGAGGUAGUGAAAAAACAUUUAGUUGUUAGUGUAAAAAUGAACAAAUACAUCACAAUUAUUUAUAAAAUAACAUUAGAAGUAUUUACAUUAUUACAUUUAGUUGAUUGGGGAUACAAAUUAAAUCUUUAGAAAAAUGGAAAAAGAAAAGGGAAAAAGCAAGACUUUUUAUUUUUGAAAAAAAAAAGUAAUGAACGGUAGAGAUUAAAAUUGGUAUCCGAAUGCGUAACCAUAAUUUCCCCCUUCUUCUUCUUCCCGCCACGAGAGUUCCGUUCCAAUCUCGCGUGUCAUCAGCGUAGAAUAGAAUGGAGUUAACGUUGAGCGAUAACUCUCUGAAAACCUUUGCACGAUGCAUCACGUGCCUCGCACGUAUCGGCAACGAGCUCGCUAUUCAAGCCUCUUCCUCUCAGCUUCUUUUCCACACUAUCAAUUCAUCACGAUCUGCAUAUCAAUCCAUUACUUUCAAACCUAGCUUCUUUGACGUCUUCAAAGUUUCAAGUACUCCUCUACAAUGUAGUGUGCUUCUGAAGGCUGUUUGUUCUGUUCUUAGGACACCUAUUGCAAAUAUUGAUCAUUUGACUGUGAAAAUGCCUGAUCCAGAUGCUCCCAAAGUUCAGUGGAUUCUAGAUUGCUACAGUGGUAUGAGAAAAACCUAUUGGAUUACUUGCAAUGUUGAACCUGACAUACAACACUUGUCCCUUGAUAGGCAAAAAUUUCCCAGCAACUUUGUAGUGAGACCUCGAGAUCUGAACAGGUUACUUGCUAAUUUUCAGUCAUCUCUUCAAGAAAUCACUAUCAUUGCAACAGAACCUGCUUCUUUACCUCCUGAUUCUGCAAAUGAAAUUGGUGGAAAGGCUGUUGAACUUCGUAGUUAUAUUGACCCAACCAAAGACAAUGAUUCACUGCUACACACCCAACUGUGGAUAGACCCUAAAGAGGAAUUUUUGCAGUAUGAUCAUACCGGGGACCCAGUAGAUGUGACUUUCAGUGUAAAAGAACUGAAGGCAUUUCUUUCAUUUUGUGAGGGCUGUGAGAUUGAUAUCCAUUUACAUUUUGAGAAAACUGGCGAGCCAAUUCUCAUGGCACCUAAAUUUGGUUUGGAAGAUGGGUCCCACUCAAAUUUUGAUGCUACCCUUGUACUAGCAACCAUGUUAACAUCUCAGCUUCAUGAAGGUGCUACAUCAGAACCUCUAGUCGUGCCUAACAGAACGCAUGCUCGAACUGGAGAAAGAAAUGAAUCUCCCUUGCAGCAAGAGAACUGCAGAACGAAUGCAUCUGAGCUUCCAUCUGACCACACCCGUAUUUGGUCAGACCUCUCAGCAACUGCAGUUAAAAAUCUUAGUGCUUUGGAAGAAAGGCAAGCACAAGAAGAAACAACUUUGAAUGAUAAUGAACAAAUAGAAAUUCAAAGGAUUAGUACAGUGCGAAUUUCAAGAGGAAAUUCAGUUGCAGGAAAUAAUCCCAUUGAUUCCAGUUUCCGCCAACCAACUGAAAAUGAUCAUGUACAAGAUCCUCAAGUGGUUUCACAACAUCAUCCUAGUAACUGGGUAGAUGCUGAAGAGGAUGACGAUGAUGAUACAGAUGAGGAUGAGCAGUACAUUCAGCCAACACCGCCAUACUAUGACGAGCAAUAAUUCAGAGGAAUUCCAUUGUAAUGGCUCUUUAUCUUGAAAAAAUAUUGUUUGGAGGACUUUGCCUUUGGUUCUUAUUGAUAGUUAAAGCUAGUUUGGUUGACUAUAUGGAGGCAAGAGAACUAGUCUCGGACCACUAACCAGCCACCAAACCCAUUCAGAAGGAUAAGGAAGUAGCUAAUAAAUUAUUUUACAUUUGAAUAUCAGGAUUUCCUGCAAGAUUAGUGAUAUUUGUUCGACUAAAUAAGACAUUAAGACUUGUUCAGCGGGUUUAUACCAAAUUUCUGAAAGUCAAUUUGAGAUUGGUUUGCUGCAUUCUAAUUUUCCUCUGAUAUGAAUAUAGGUUUUUUCUUCUCAAAAUCUUUCUGCAUAUAUUAGGAUGAGUUGCUCCUAGAAAAUUAUUGAAUACUACUAAUACCUUAAUUCCAAAACUUUAGUUGUUUAAGCAUUUUAGUUUUGUUUCAAAAUCUUGAGUGAUGUAGAAAUUGAAGACAUACUGUAUUUGACCUUUUUCUUUUAAAUAGAUC